UACGGAGGAUCCAAGCGCUAUCCGGAUUUAUUGGGUUUAAAGGGUGCGUAGGCGGCUUUUUAAGUCAGGGGUGAAAGACGGUAGCUCAACUAUCGCAGUGCCCUUGAUACUGAAGAGCUUGAAUGUACUUGAGGUAGGCGGAAUGUGACAAGUAGCGGUGAAAUGCAUAGAUAUGUCACAGAACACCAAUUGCGAAGGCAGCUUACUAAAGUAUGAUUGACGCUGAGGCACGAAAGCGUGGGGAUCAAACAGG
rnacentral:rRNA from 1 species